UGAGGAAUAUUGGUCAAUGGGGGCAACCCUGAACCAGCCAAGUCGCGUGAAGGAUGAAGGUCUUAUGGAUUGUAAACUUCUUUUACACGGAAAUAAAUUGGGGGACGUGUCCCCUUUUGCAUGUACUGUAUGAAUAAGGAUCGGCUAACUCCGUGCCAGCAGCCGCGGUAAUACGGAGGAUCCGAGCGUUAUCCGGAUUUAUUUGGUUUAAAGGGUGCGCAGGCGGGAUGUUAAGUCGGCGGUGAAAUUUUGCAGCUCAACUGUAAAAGUGCCUUCGAUACUGGCCUCCUUGAGUGUGGAUGAAGUAGGCGGAAUUUGUGGUGUAGCGGUGAAAUGCUUAGAUAUCACGAGGAACUCCGAUUGCGCAGGCAGCUUACUAAGCCACAACUGACGCUCAUGCACGAAGGCGUGGGGAUCAAACA
rnacentral:rRNA from 1 species